rnacentral:rRNA from 1 species
UCCAUGCAGUCGACGGCAGCAUAGAGAGCUUGCUCUCUGAUGGCGAGUGGCGAACGGGUGAGUAAUAUAUCGGAACGUGCCCAGUAAUGGGGAAUAACUAGCCGAAAGGUUAGCUAAUACCGCAUACGACCUAUGGGUGAAAGCAGGGGAUCUUAGGACCUUGCGUUAUUGGAGCGGCCGAUAUCUGAUUAGCUUGUUGGUGGGGUAAAAGCCUACCAAGGCAACGAUCAGUAGCUGGUCUGAGAGGACGAUCAGCCACACUGGAACUGAGACACGGUCCAGACUCCUACGGGAGGCAGCAGUGGGGAAUUUUGGACAAUGGGGGAAACCCUGAUCCAGCCAUCCCGCGUGAGUGAAGAAGGCCUUCGGGUUGUAAAGCUCUUUCGAAAGUGAAGAAAACUUAUUUCGUAAUAUGUUAUAAGUAUGACGGUAACUUUAGAAGAAGCACCGGCUAACUACGUGCCAGCAGCCGCGGUAAU